UACGGGGGGGGGCAAGCGUUGUUCGGAAUUACUGGGCGUAAAGGGCGUGUAGGCGGCCAACUAAGUCCGACGUGAAAUCCCCAGCUUAACCUGGGAACUGCGUCGGAUACUGGAUGGCUUGAAUCCGGGAGAGGGAUGCAGAAUUCCAGGUGUAGCGGUGAAAUGCGUAGAUAUCUGGAGGAAUACCGGUGGCGAAGGCGGCAUCCUGGACCCGGCAUUGACGCUGAAGCGCGAAAGCUAGGGGAGCAAACGGG
rnacentral:rRNA from 1 species